rnacentral:rRNA from 1 species
GCUUGUCUCAAAGAUUAAGCCAUGCAUGUCUAAGUAUAAGUAGUAUACAGCGAAACUGCGAAUGGCUCAUUAAAACAGUUAUAGUUUAUUCGAUAGUAAAAUUACAUGGAUAACCGUGGUAAAUCUAUGGCUAAUACAUGCGCAAAGGCCCGACCCUGAAGGGCUGUAUUUAUUAGAUUUAAAGCCGACAUCUUUUGGUGAUUCAUAAUAACUUUUCGAACCUCAUGCCUUUAUGGUGGAGGUGAUUCAUUCAAAUUUCUGCCCUAUCAGCUUUGGAUGGUAGGGUAUUGGCCUACCAUGGCUUUAACGGGUAACGGAGAAUUAGGGUUCGAUUCCGGAGAGGGAGCCUGAGAAAUGGCUACCACAUCCAAGGAAGGCAGCAGG